rnacentral:rRNA from 1 species
CCUACGGGAGGCAGCAGUGGGGAAUAUUGCACAAUGGGGGAAACCCUGAUGCAGCGACGCCGCGUGAGUGAAGAAGUACUUCGGUACGUAAAGCUCUAUCAGCAGGGAAGAAAAUGACGGUACCUGAUUAAGCAGCCCCGGCUAACUACGUGCCAGCAGCCGCGGUAAUACGUAGGGGGCAAGCGUUAUCCGGAUUUACUGGGUGUAAAGGGAGCGUAGACGGCAGUACAAGGCUGGAGGGAAAUGCCGGGGCUUAACCCCGGAACUGCUUUGGCAACUGUGUGGCUGGAGUGCAGGAGAGGUAAGUGGAAGUCCUAGUGUAGCGGUGAAAUGCGUAGAUAUUAGGAGGAACACCAGUGGCGAAGGCGGCUUGCUGGACUGUAACGGACGUUGAGGCGCGAAAGCGUGGGGAGCAAACAGGAUUAGAUACCCCUGUAGUC